UGUCUCUCUCAAAUGAAUAAAAUCUUAAAAAAAAAAAAACCUACUGAGCUUAUUACUUAGCCUCCUUUUGCCUUUUCCCUAUCUUCUCUGAAAUCUGUUACUCUCCUUUUUAUCUACCGAAAAUGCUUUCCCCAUCUCUUGACAGACCUGUUCCUGUCUGUUUCUGAGCCUUUUCUCUCUGUGGGGUUUCCUGCCUCCCUCAGCAAAAAUGAUGUAUUGGUAUGGCUUCCGUGUCUCCUUCAGUGUACUUCUUUUUCUUAUUUCUGACUAUUCUUCUUUCCUUUCCUAUUGAUAACACAGAAGUGGAAUUUUGAUGUUUGUUAUUGACUGUUUACAGAUCUAUGAUACUCAAUUUUCAAGGCUAGUAAACAAAACAUUUAAAUUUCUCUCUGUAAAAAUAAGUGGUACUUGGCACAGUUAGUGACUGCCAAAAGGAAAUCGAUACCCAGCCAUCUUUGUGGAACUGGUUUUGCAAUAAAUAAUGAGAAUUUAAUGAAAUAUUUCUAGGAUAUAGCUGUACACAGAGGAAACUAAUAUAAAGUUAUAGGGGCCUAGUGCUUCAACUGGAAAUUCCAACAGAAGAUCAAUUUGGUUGCUAAGCAGAGAACAAUGUUUAAGGUUUAAAAAUGGACUUAUUUCUUCAAAAAUAUAAAAAGGAUUUUAUCUUUGACAGUGAAAUUCCUAAGGACCCCUUGAAGGCCAUUCUGUUGGAGUUAGAAUGUCACUUUACAUGGAAUUUACUUAAGGAAGACAUUCUGUUUGAUGUGGAAGAUACAAUUGGGCAGCAGCUUGAAUCUGUCACCACAGAAUCCAGACUUACUCUUUAUAACCUAUUGGCCUAUGUGAAACAUCUAAAAGGCCAAAAUGAAGAUGCCCUAGAAUGCUUGGAACAAGCAGAACACAUAAUCCAGCAAGAGCACUCAGACAAAGAAGUUCGACAUCUGGUCACUUGGGGAAACUAUGCCUGGGUGUAUUAUCACAUGGACCAGCUUAAGGAAGCUCAGAAGCAUUUAGACAAGAUAGGGACCACCUGUAAGAAACUGUCCAGUCCUUCUGACUACAGGUCGGACAGGCCUGAGAUUGACUGUGAGAAAGGGUGGGCACUCUUGAAAUUUGGAGGAAAGUAUUACCACAGGGCAAAAGUGGCUUUUGAGAAGGCUCUGGAAGUGGAACCUGACAAUCCAGAAUUUAACAUCGGUUAUGCCAUCACAGUGUACCGGCUGGACGAUACUGACAGACACGGGUGUAUAAAGAGCUUUUCUCUGGGCCCGCUGAGGAAGGCUGUCUCCCUGAACCCAGGUAACACCUACAUUAAGGUUUUACUGGCACUGAAGCUUCAAGAUGUACAAGCAGAAGAUGAAGGGGAAAGGUAUACUGAAGAAAUCCUGGACCAAAUAUCCUCCCAACCUCAUGUCCUUCGUUACGCAGCCAAAUUCUACAGGAGAAAAAAUUCCUGGGACAAAGCUCUUGAAGUUUUGAAAAAGGCCUUGAAGGUGACACCAUGUCUUCGUUCCUGCAUCACCAGAUGGGACUUUGCUAUCGGGCGCAAAUGAUCGACAUCAAGGAGGCCACAGGCAACAGACCUACAGGGGAGGAUAAACUGAGGAUGGACAGGCUUAUUACAAUGACUAUCUUUCAUUUCAAAGUAGCUGUGCAAUGAGACUUCAAGUUCCCCUUUGUCUACACAGCCCUGGCGAGCAUGUAUGUCGAGGCAGGCCAGUGUAAUAAAGCUGAAGAAGUUUUCCAGAAAGUGCUUCAUCUGGAGAACAUAACUGAUGAUCACAAACAUCAGAUCCACUACUACUACGGCCGCUUUCAGGAAUUUCACUGUAAGUCAGAAAGUACUGCCAUCCACCAUUAUUUAGAGGCCUUAAAGAUCAGUGACCAAUCAUCCCUCCGUCCCAAACUGACAAGUGUUCUGAAGAAACUGGCUCUGAAGAGACUUGGUCAUGAUGCUUCAGAUGUGCAGUUAUGUGCCCUGGGGCUUGUUUACAAGCUGGAGGGAGAAGAGAGGCAAGCUGCUCAGUACUAUGAGCGGGCCCAGAGGAUAGAUCCAGAAAAUGCAGAGCCCCUUGCCGCUCUCUGUGAGCUUCGACUUUCUAUUUAAAUAUAUACUCUAGGAAAUUGCUUUUAAGCUUUUCUUACCAUUUUGGGCUCAUAUAUUUUUAU